rnacentral:piRNA from 1 species
UCAAUAAACACUAGCCAUCAUUAUGGUC